rnacentral:rRNA from 1 species
UACGUAGGGGGCAAGCGUUGUCCGGAUUUAUUGGGCGUAAAGAGCGUGUAGGCGGUUGAGUAGGUCCGUUGUGAAAACUCGAGGCUCAACCUCGAGACGCCGAUGGAAACCCCCCAGCUAGAGUCCGGAAGAGGAGAGUGGAAUUCCUGGUGUAGCGGUGAAAUGCGCAGAUAUCAGGAAGAACACCCGUGGCUAAGGCGGCUCUCUAGUACGGUACUGACGCUGAGACGCGAAAGCGUGGGGAGCGAACAGG